UGACUUCACAUUGGAGCAGGCAGCUUAGGCAGCAUAUCCUGCUCCAGAAAGCAGCAUUUUUCUAGCAGACAGAUUCUGUAACUUGACAGACAGGAUGAAAGCACAAGAGAUUUCACAGCUCUUACCACAAGAAUGUCAACUGUGAUGGGCAGCUCAGACAGCCUCUUCAGACUCUUCAGCAGCUACAGAGACAAGGAGGAAAGCAUUCAGACUUCUCAGACUGAAACAUGUACUAUGAUUAGAAAGGAAAGCUCUGCACAAAGCUUGUUAGAAAGAUCCAGAGAACUGCAACUUAACUUUGGCUUACAGUGUUGGUAGCAAAGCCAUUACGCAGCCCUGUGGCACAAGAAGCUGAUGGAAAGACUUAGAAACUUGUGACUCAGAAGUGGCCCUGAGAAGUGCAUCCCUUGGCAAGGGAGAGACAAGUUAAAUAAAUGAGAUAACUUCAUGAGGUUCUGCAAACCAGA